CUGAGCCCGCCAUGGGGCGGGGCCACGAGCGGAGGGCGGGGAAGACGGGAGGAAAGGCAGAGUGACCCACACUCCCACCAAUCAGGAGUCGCCCCGGGGAAGGAGGUGGGGCGAUGCGCUAGGAAGAAGCGGACGGAUUCCAUGACGCAGUGGAGGGAGUUGGGACCACGGGUUCCCGACAGGUGCGAAGGGCAGAGGGAGGUGAGAGCUGCGUGGGGCCCGGGAAGGGGCUUCCAGCUGCCCAGCGCGCUGCCUUGCGCCGUGGGUGCUCCAUCAAUAUUUGUGGAGCGGCGUUUCCCGCCUGGGAAGGAGGGAGAAGGGAAGGCGGCGCGGGAGGGGCUGGUUCAAGGAGAAGCUCCCUGAGGACACUUGUGGUCGAACAGGCAAAGAGGACGCGACCUCUUGAGGAAGUCAAAUCGAGGCCAAGGGAUCAAGAACGGAGAAGAGGGGGUGGUGAAGGGAGGGUUGCAGGCACAGGGCGAUGGACGGAUUCGGCGUGGGACCCCGCCCUGGACUCUGACCUGACAUCCCGAGGCAGCGAUGCAGAUUCGUGCCGGGUCCCAGGGGAAAACCCAGGAGUGCGGUUGUUUUGUUCUUUGCAGUUCAUGUGCAGGGGGUGGGAGGACAGAGAGAAAGCGUCGUAGUUAAAAUCAAAAUGCAGGAGCUCCUUGAAAAACAAUGAAGUCCACCUCGCUCCUCGAGCUCCUUCGAUCCUGGCUUGAACGCAGGCAACUGAUCACCUGGGGUCAGUUUGCAGCCUGCAGACGUGUAGGGUGAUUAACAUUCACUGAGCGCCUACUGCGUGCGUCCGACCCAGUUGUGGGCGUGCAGCGGCGAUGGUACACCAGGUUCCUGCUCUUGUGGAGCUUAUAUUUCUGUGGGGAGAGACAGAGCAUAAACAAAGAAAAUAUACAAAUGUAAACCAACGAGGAAAUGCUGGUGAGCACCGAGGCAAUUGCUAAGCAGAGCUUUCAAAGGCGAUGAUGUGUGCGAUAGGGAGCUGCGAAGCACCCUGAGGGCCUCUCUGGGGAGGUGGCUUUUAAGCAGAUUCCUGAACCCGAAAAGGAGCCGGUUCUCCCCAGAGCGUUCCAGGCCGAAGGGAACAGCAAACGCAAGGUGUUUGACCUCCCUGAAGACCGUGUAACCUGCCUCGCCGAGCUGAACAAUGAAUGAGCGUGACUCGCUCGCCUGGCUCGCUGCCCGGCACCUUAGGGGCUCCAGAAUGUUAAAUUCCAGCGCCAUCUGCCACCUGCGGCAGCCGGCAUAUUUCCAGUUUCCCAACUGACCCCGAAUUAAGGUGUCUGAGGCUCUUGCCGGAGCCAUGCCGUUCGCAUUUCAUUCACCUCGCUAGGUUCUCCGCUUCUGGAGCCCUCCCUGUCGCGGGAGGUCGGGGACUGUUUUGAAUCUGGCAAGUAGCUAGCGAGGGAGGGCGGAUACUGACCAGCUGCAGAGCGAACCCAGCGUCGGGCUGCCCGCAUCUGCACACGGAAAAUCUUACUGGAGAAGAUUUAAAAUCGAAUGACUAGGAGGAUCUUAAAGAAUCCCCUCCCCAGCCCCCACCCCCGCCGCCACUCCGCACCAGGAGGCACCUUGGCCACCCCGGCAUGGAUGGCCUGAGCAGCUCAGAUGUUGUUUUCCCAACCCUUCUUGCAUUUUUCAGUAAUUCCUCUCCCGGACUUGUAUCACGUGGCUUUCACCACAUCAGGGGCCCUGUUCACCGAUUAUUUACUCAAGAUUCCCUAUCGAUCCACAGCAACAUGGAAUAACACACUCAGAUAAAAUUAGCACUUCAGGGAAGAAACUGUAAUGGUCUUGCUCUGGCUCUGGUAGACUGUUAAUAUAAUAAACUGAAUUCCUGGAACCAAAAAUAAACUUUUCUGUGAAGAAUGUGUACUUGGAAUAAGGCGUACCAAUACCUAGAGUGCAUGUUUUUCCUCGGAGAGGGUGAGACUUGCUGGCACUGUGCAAUGGAGGACAAGAGAAACUCUGUUUGCCCUACAUCAUUAUUUCUUGCAAAUACUACUUUAUAACAAAGGCAAGAGAAGUAAAUGUCUACCCACUAUUCUGUAUACCUGAAAUAAAUAUAAUAUUGAAUGUCAACUGUAAUUGAAAAAAAAUUUUAAGGUAAUAGAAGUUAAAGAAAGGGAAUAAUUGCCUAUAAUCCUACCUACAGACAACAGCCCUAGCUUACAUUAUUAUUAUUAUUAUUUAGUGUUUCCUUCUAGUGUUUUUUUCAGGCAGUUGUGAUUUUUGAGUAAAUGCAAACUUAAAUUGUAUGUUUUCCUAAUUGCUGCUUCAUAAUUGUCAACAGAUUAUUGUGAAUCCAUUAAAAUAAUUAUUGUGAAGA